rnacentral:lncRNA from 1 species
UUACAUUCUGCAUCUUCCUGAAAUAACAGAGAACUGUCAAUAGUUACUUCACAGUAAAUGUUUGCAAAACUUACUUGGGAAUUAAGAUGUAAGAGAUUAAUGCACCAAAAGCAAAUCUCAUCUCUUAAUUGCUUUAAAUUGAUUAUUUAAAAUAAUCUUCUUUAAUUGAAACUCUUCCGAAGGCUGGAAUUUUUUUAAUUAUAGCCUUUGUUCAGACCAGCCUCUGAGAAGAAAAACAAUCAAGGCAAUUAAGAUAGCAUUAAAUUUUUGAUGAAAAGUUGGCAUUUUCUGUUUAUUAAGAUUUAGAUAUUAGCUACUGAAGUUUCUUGGAGAUGGGGCUUAACUAAAGCUGCUGGCAUUAAUGAUACAAAACUUAAGACUUUGCAGUAAAAUUUUCUUGGACACUUUUUUCAUUGAGGUGAAAAAGGAGUCCAUGUAGCCAGGCCUUAAAGCCAGUUUACUCACCUAGUACUUCCUUAAUAAUCCAUUGGUAGUUGUGAAACAGUUUUAACAUUUAAUUUUUUUCACUAGUUUUCUGAUUUAAUAAUACUGAUUUCUUGGAAGAUUUGAAAAUUUCCAAAAAGUGAAAAACUCAGUUUUUUCAUGCUUGAACUUCUCCCCCCUGUGCACUUAAAACACGACAUUUACACACAUUGCUUACCUAAAACCUCAGAAUACACUUUGUGCAAAGGAAGUGU